GGAUUGAUGAUGAUUCUCAAACAAACAAUCCUUGGAAAGCUGAACAAAAUGAGGGACUAUUCAGUACUGCCAUAGUUAUUGUGACUGAGGUCC
ensembl:snoRNA SNORD116 Small nucleolar RNA SNORD116